CUCAGGUGAUCUGCCUGCCUCGGCCUCCCAAAGUACUGGGAUUAUAGGCGUGAGCCACCGCGCCCGGCCUAACUUUUGGUUUUGUCUGUGCUAACCUUUCCAUUUGCCUGUUCCAGAGAAUCCAGGAGUCCUGCCAAAGUGGCACCAAGUGGCUGGUGGAGACCCAGGUGAAGGCCAGGAGGCGGAAGAGAGGAGCACAGAAGGGCAGUGGAUCCCCAACUCACAGCCUGAGCCAGAAGAGCACCCGGCUGUCUGGAGCCGCCCCUGCCCACUCAGCCGCAGACCCCUGGGAGAAGGAGCAUCACCGCCUCUCUGUCCGGAUGGGCUCACAUGCCCACCCAUUACGGCGAUCAAGGCGGGAGGCUGCCUUCCGGAGCCCCUACUCCUCAACAGAGCCCCUCUGCUCUCCCAGCGAGUCUGACAGUGACCUAGAGCCUGUGGGGGCGGGAAUUCAGCAUCUCCAGAAGCUGUCCCAAGAGCUAGAUGAAGCCAUUAUGGCGGAAGAGAGGUGAGUUGGCAUCCCAUGCUUCAAAGUGAAGGGGCCGGGAGGGCCCCUCCAGCCAUCUUUGUAGGCAGGCGUUGGUUCUGCUCUGACCUGCUGUGUGACCCUGGCCAGUCUCUGCCCCUCUCUGGGCCUCAGUCUCCCUCAU
rnacentral:lncRNA from 10 species